rnacentral:rRNA from 1 species
UACGGGGGGGGCAAGCGUUGUUCGGAAUUACUGGGCGUAAAGGGCUCGUAGGCGGCUCGCUAAGUCAGACGUGAAAGCCCUCGGCUUAACCGGGGAACGGCGUCUGAGACUGGCAAGCUUGAAUCCGGGAGAGGGAUGCGGAAUUCCAGGUGUAGCGGUGAAAUGCGUAGAUAUCUGGAGGAACACCGGUGGCGAAGGCGGGUCUCUGGGCCGGUACUGACGCUGAGGAGCGAAAGCGUGGGGAGCGAACAGG